rnacentral:rRNA from 1 species
UACGGGAGGCAGCAGUGGGGAAUAUUGCACAAUGGGCGCAAGCCUGAUGCAGCCAUGCCGCGUGUAUGAAGAAGGCCUUCGGGUUGUAAAGUACUUUCAGUCGUGAGGAAGGUGUUAAGGUUAAUAACCUUAGCAAUUGACGUUAGCGACAGAAGAAGCACCGGCUAACUCCGUGUCAGCAGCCGCGGUAAUACGGAGGGUGCGAGCGUUAAUCGGAAUUACUGGGCGUAAAGGGCACGCAGGCGGUUAAUUAAGUUGGAUGUGAAAUCCCCGGGCUUAACCUGGGAAUGGCAUUCAAGACUGGUUAGCUAGAGUCUUGUAGAGGGGGUAGAAUUCCAUGUGUAGCGGUGAAAUGCGUAGAGAUGUGGAGGAAUACCGGUGGCGAAGGCGGCCCCUGGGACAAAGACUGACGCUCAUGUGCGAAAGCGUGGGGAGCAAACAGGGAUUAGAUACC